rnacentral:rRNA from 1 species
UACGACCAUAUCGUUAGAAACACUGUUCUCGUCCGAUCCCCGCAAGUUAAGCAACAUCGAGCUCAGUUAGUACUUGGAUGGGUGACCGCCUGGGAAUACCGGGUGUUAU